rnacentral:rRNA from 1 species
GUUGGGAAUCUUGGACAAUGGGGGAAACCCUGAUCCAGCCAUGCCGCGUGAGUGAUGAAGGCCUUCGGGUUGUAAAGCUCUUUUACCCGGGAAGAUAAUGACUGUACCGGGAGAAUAAGCUCCGGCUAACUUCGUGCCAGCAGCCGCGGUAAUACGAAGGGGGCUAGCGUUGUUCGGAAUUACUGGGCGUAAAGCGCGCGCAGGCGGUUUCUCAAGUCAGUGGUGAAAGCCCGGAGCUCAACUCCGGAACUGCCAUUGAAACUGUGAAACUUGAGGACGAGAGAGGUGAGUGGAAUUCCCAGUGUAGAGGUGAAAUUCGUAGAUAUUGGGAAGAACACCGGUGGCGAAGGCGGCUCACUGGCUCGUUUCUGACGCUCAGGCGCGACAGCGUGGGGAUCAAACAGGAUUAGAAACCCUAGUAGUCC